rnacentral:rRNA from 1 species
UCCGUAGGAUGCAAGCGUUGUCCGAAUUUAUUGGUUUUAAAGGGUGCGUAGGCGACCAAUUAAGUUAGUGGUGAAAACGUUCGGCUUAACCGGAUACCCGCCAUUGAUACUGAUAGACUUGAGUGCGACAGAGGGUGUUGGAAUGUGUGGUGUAGCGGUGAAAUGCUUAGAUAUCACGCAGAACACCAAUUGCGAAGGCAGAUGCCUAUGUCGUAACUGACGCUGAGGCACGAAAGCGUGGGGAGAAAACAGG